rnacentral:lncRNA from 1 species
CUUCAUCCUCUGGUAUCGAUAUUAAUAAUGACGAAGAAACGGAAUCAGAUGAAACUCCACCUGGCACCUGUAAAGAUACUGUAUAAAUGCUGAGAUCUAGAUUGCAUUGAGAACUAGAUUCAGUUCCGAAAUAUCACUAGUCGAACUGACCUGACCGCGUAGCUCAGUUGGCAGAGCAUUGGGCUAGUAUUCCAAAGGUCAUAGGUUUGAUUCCAUCGUGGGCAGGCAUAUUUUCCAAGCUGCCCGGUGUGGAUAUACACUCUGAGUAACAUCACAAAUAUGUGUUUUAUAAUUAUACAUUGAUUGAAUUCCCUUCAGCUGCAUCUCUUAUAACAGCUGUGUGAUUUCUUUGUA